AGCGAACGCUGGCGGCAGGCCUAACACAUGCAAGUCGAACGAACCUUUCGGGGUUAGUGGCGGACGGGUGAGUAACACGUGGGAACGUGCCUUUAGGUUCGGAAUAACUCAGGGAAACUUGUGCUAAUACCGAAUGUGCCCUUCGGGGGAAAGAUUUAUCGCCUUUAGAGCGGCCCGCGUCUGAUUAGCUAGUUGGUUGAGGUAAUGGCUCACCAAGGCGACGAUCAGUAGCUGGUCUGAGAGGAUGAUCAGCCACAUUGGGACUGAGACACGGCCCAAACGCCUACGGGAGGCAGCAGUGGGGAAUCUUGCGCAAUGGGCGAAAGCCUGAAGCAGCCAUGCCGCGUGAAUGAUGAAGGUCUUAGGAUUGUAAAAUUCUUUCACCGGGGACGAUAAGGACGGAACCCGGAGAAGAAGCCCCGGCUAACUUCGA
rnacentral:rRNA from 1 species